rnacentral:Y_RNA from 1 species
AGCUGGUCCCAUGAUAAUGGGUUGUCAGAACUUAACCUUAGUGUCACUAAAGUUAAUAAACAGCCCUCCACUGCUAAGUUUGACUCACCAAAA